rnacentral:rRNA from 1 species
CGGACGGGUGAGUAAUGCUUGGGAAUCUGGCUUAUGGAGGGGGAUAACUACGGGAAACUGUAGCUAAUACCGCGUAAUAUCUUCGGAUUAAAGGGUGGGACUUUCGGGCCACCUGCCAUAAGAUGAGCCCAAGUGGGAUUAGGUAGUUGGUGGGGUAAAGGCCUACCAAGCCGACGAUCUCUAGCUGGUCUGAGAGGAUGACCAGCCACACUGGAACUGAGACACGGUCCAGACUCCUACGGGAGGCAGCAGUGGGGAAUAUUGCACAAUGGGGGGAACCCUGAUGCAGCCAUGCCGCGUGAAUGAAGAAGGCCUUCGGGUUGUAAAGUUCUUUCGGUGAUGAGGAAGGUGUUUGUUUUAAUAGAACAAGCAAUUGACGUUAGUCACAGAAGAAGCACCGGCUAACUCCGUGCCAGCAGCCGCGGUAAUACGGAGGGUGCGAGCGUUAAUCGGAAUGACUGGGCGUAAAGGGCACGCAGGCGGUGACUUAAGUGAGAUGUGAAAGCCCCGAGCUUAACUUGGGAAUCGCAUUUCAUACUGGGUCGCUAGAGUAUUUUAGGGAGGGGUAGAAUUCCACGUGUAGCGGUGAAAUGCGUAGAGAUGUGGAGGAAUACCGAAGGCGAAGGCAGCCCCUUGGGAAUAUACUGACGCUCAUGUGCGAAAGCGUGGGGAGCAAACAGGAUUAGAUACCCUGGUAGUCCACGCUGUAAACGCUGUCGAUUUGGGGAUUGGGCUUAGAGCUUGGUGCCCGUAGCUAACGUGAUAAAUCGAC